rnacentral:tRNA from 1 species
AUUCAAUUAGUAUAUUAGUAGUAUACUAAGCUUCCAACUUAGAGGAUUUGUAUUAUUAAAUUGAAUA